rnacentral:rRNA from 1 species
UACGUAGGGGGCAAGCGUUGUCCGGAUUUAUUGGGCGUAAAGAGCGUGUAGGCGCCAGACAGGUCCGUUGUGAAAACUUGAGGCUCAACCUCGAGACGCCGAUGGAAACCGUCUGGCUAGAGUCCGGAAGAGGAGAGUGGAAUUCCUGGUGUAGCGGUGAAAUGCGCAGAUAUCAGGAAGAACACCCGUGGCUAAGGCGGCUCUCUAGUACGGUACUGACGCUGAGACGCGAAAGCGUGGGAGCGAACAGG